rnacentral:snRNA from 1 species
CCAUAAAGACUAUGAAAUCAAGUU